CGAAGUGGCUCAGUUGGUAGAGCAACGCACUCGUAAUGCGUAGGUCGUGGGUUCGAGUCCCAUCUUCGG
rnacentral:tRNA from 1 species